rnacentral:rRNA from 1 species
GUUUGAUCCUGGCUCAGGACGAACGCUGGCGGCGUGCUUAACACAUGCAAGUCGUGCGAGAAAACCCCUUCGGGGGUGAGUACAGCGGCGGACGGGUGAGUAACACGUGAGCGAUCUACCCGGUGGCGGGGGACAACCCAGGGAAACCUGGACUAAUACCGCAUACAGCGGAGGGAGUAGGUGCCCUUCGUGAAAGCUGGCCUCUCCAUGGAAGCUAGCGUCGCCGGAGGAGCUCGCGGCCUAUCAGCUUGUUGGUGGGGUAACGGCCUACCAAGGCGAUGACGGGUAGCUGACGUGAGAGCGUGACCAGCCACACUGGGACUGAGACACGGCCCAGACUCCUACGGGAGGCAGCAGUGGGGAAUAUUGCGCAAUGGGCGAAAGCCUGACGCAGCGACGCCGCGUGGGGGAGGAAGGCCCUAGGGUUGUAAACCCCUGUCAGGUGGGACGAACCCUGGGUCGACGAAUAGUUGGCUCAGCUGACGGUACCAUCAGAGGAAGCUCCGGCUAACUCCGUGCCAGCAGCCGCGGUAACACGGGGGGAGCAAGCGUUGUUCGGAAUCACUGGGCGUAAAGCGCGCGUAGGCGGCCGAGUAAGUCGUAUGUGAAAGCCCGGGGCUCAACUCCGGUAUUGCAUGCGAUACUGCCC